GUCUGCAUCUCCCCAUAGCCUGUGAGAUAGGACAAGUGUUCUUCCUGCCCGAAUCUGUGGAGGAGGUAAGCGAGAGCCAGAGGGGUUAGGACACUCGUCCACAGUCACACAGCUAUGUUCAGUUUCAAACUCAGGGCUGCGUCAUCUCCUGCUGGGUUGGGUGGUAUUUGCACACCAUCUUGUCCACUCACUCCAGGGGGGCCCUUGACCAGUGAGAAAGCAGUUGGGAGUAUGCCAUGUCCCUCCAGUGAUGGAAAGGUGAGGGGUGAGCACCCCAGGGUGAGCCUUGCUGUGGGCUGCCCUCAGGUCUUAGAAGGUUCCUCUGGUUGGGCCUUGACAGGCUCCAAGGUCCUGGGAGGCAUUCUGCUGGUGACCUGGGGACAGGGACGGGGGCAAAGACCUCAGAGUAAGAUGGUCCUGUGAUUCCAAGCCCAGGCACUUACAAACUCACUCCAGGUGAGACCCCUUCUGUGCCAGAGGCGUGAUUCCUUCAGCUGGGGUCGAGAGAGGGCUGUGGCAUAAUAAUCCCCGUUUCUAUACUUGCUCUGAGUCAGUGCUUCAUAAGUGUUCUUUCAUCUUGUGGCCACCCAGGAAGAGGCUGUGUGGGGUGGGGGGAGGCAGCAAGAGGGAGGCCGAGGCUGAAGGGGGAAUAACUUCUAGAGUCAUUCCCAGCCAGAGACUCCUUGCAGCUGUGCGAAGACCUUUGCCGUUUGGGGAGUGGUUUAUAUAGGGGACCCAGGAUGGCUCUCAGCCCAUUUUACAGUUGAGGACACACAGGCCUAGAGGAGUAAAGAAUGCUAAUGAGUUCCAACCCGUGCCCAGCCUGCUCAGGCACCCUUACAGGGACCCUAGGCGGUAGGAGCUGUUAUACCCAUUUAUCCCAGUUCCUGGAUGGUGGAGAGAGGAUGGACAUGUGGACUACAAAGUGUCAUGGGUGAUCAGCGCUCUUAUUUCCGUGAUCCAGGAGGGCGGGUGGAGAAGUGGGGGUGAAAGGGUUAACUUAAUUUUGGCUGUCAUUCCUUUUUGGCAUCUGCGAGUAAACUUAAUAGGAUCUCGGCUUUCCUGUUGCCUCACCAGCGAAACAGAAACCAGACCACGAGGGGGUCUGGAGAUGGUUAACUGGCGAUGCCUCUUGGUGGGCAGGCAGCAGGGCCUCCUCGGAGACAGCACCAGGAAAUGACUUUUGCUGGAAACUGCCACUCUGGGUUCUCCUGGCACCAGGGUGAGGGCAGGGCCGGGGAACUGGGGUCUCCUGACAGUCUGGCUCCAGGCAGAGGGGAAGAUGGCGGGUGCAGGGUCCGUGGACUGGUGCCAGGAUCCUGGCUCUCCCUCCUUUUCACCUUUGAGGCUUAGCCUGCCGGGGAUCUUGCCUCUCAGGGUUCAGUGUAAUAAAGUGCUAAGCCCGGGACAGAGCGGGCCCAGCUCGAUGCCUGCUAACUCUACCCAACUUCUGGUUUUUCUUUCUCCUCCUCCCCUACUCCUCAUUUUGAUCUCAGCUUGAAUGUCACUGCCUCCAGGAAGCCCUCUGCUACUGGACUGGUGAUGCUCCUUGGGGCUCAGUUAUAGGCCCCAUGGUGCCCCCUUGCUCCCCUGCCCUCACCCCCUCAUACUUCUUUCUCUGGUCUCUCCUAGGGUGGGAGUUGAGUGUGGCUCUUUCACCUUGACCUUGGCAGAGGGUCCUGCCCCAUUCACAACCUUAUAAGGGAAGGGGACUGGGUGUGUGUCGGGGGGCAGGUCAUCAGGUCACCAGGUGCCCUCUGGGAGCCCUGAGCCGGGGGAUUUAGGCAAUCCCCAGGUUGGGACUCUCCUGCCAGGACCACUUUUCUCUCUGCGGUGGUUUUCAUUAUUUUACAUUCCCAGACUAUUUUGGAAGCUGGCUGCCAUGGGAACCGAGUCUCUGGAAAGCCCCAGCCUCUUUCUUUCCCCUCCUGCCCCACCCCUUUCCAUCUCCAUUCCCUCUUAAUUGGUUUUUAGUUCCCUGGCUUUCAGGCCAGUCUGUUUAUUUUGAUUGCAACUCAACAGAACAAACCUUUAAUGAACCAGCUUGUGGAGAGAGCCAUUAGCAGCCGCCUGCCUCGGGGAGUGGGGGAGGCAUCGGCCUGGGCUGCAGCCCCCCGGGGGGAGGUUUUGGCCAGGCUUCGGUGGCAGCCAGCUCUUGGGCCCAGUCUUCCUUCAGGCACAGUCUAGAAAGCUUGGCCUCCCCAAGCUGUCUGCAGCCUCAGCUGGGAUGACCUCCCAGCCUUUGAAAAGACGAGGUGGCUUCACAGAGCUCCCCGGUCUCCCAGGGCCCAAGAGGGGCACACCAGCUCUACCCCACUGUGCAGACAUGGGGGUGAGGCUCACUGGAACCCAGAGACCCGAGUCUCAGCCAGCAAACUGUCCCUUGGUAAACCGGGACCAGAGCCCUUGUCCUUCCCCUUGAGGAAGGCACCGAUGGUUUCCCAGGAGUGUCACUUGUCCUCUGGCCAAAGCCACAGUGACAGUCCAGGCCAGGCUCCACCAGAAAGGUCCUGGCUUUCUGGAGCAGGAUCUUCUGUUUUGCCCCUUCUCUAACACAGAGCCAGCUGGACCCCCACUAUUUAUAGGGCUUCUUCGUGGACUGAGUGGAAUCACAUGUUCCCGGAGCCUUGCAGACAGGAACCUGCGGAUCCCAGGGUGCUGUUGUGAGUGCAGAGCUCAGAACCAUCCGGGCAGCUUCCUUGCCUUCAGCCAGCCCAGGCUCCGGGCUGACCUGAAUGGACGUGGCUGGUUUGCCCUUCCGUACUGACCUUGUUUGCCAGAGCUGUUGACCUCAGAAGUGGAGGCCCUGGAGCAGAGAGCUGCCUUAGGGUUCAAGACAGCGGCUUUCAAGCUUCUGUAGCCAGGGCCUGAGGAACAUGGGUGGGCCGGCCUCUCCCCAUCUCUACCUUUGGUCUGGGGGGCUCGGCUUUCAUGGCUCCCUAGCGUGGGGAGGUUUUUAUUCAGAACAGAAACCUCCGUCUCUGACCCAGUCCCUCCCUCGGCCCUCACCUGCGAUCACCCAGGUGGGCUGAGCUUCCUUUCCUCUAGGUGACUGGGUGAAGGAGGAGGCUCUUCUGGCCAGUGGAGGUCAGAGGAAGUCGCUCGGGGUCUCGGGGAAGUUUUCUUGUUCCUAAUGGGAACAAAAGAUAAAAGAUGAGUUUUCUUCUUCUUUGUCUAUAGGUGACCUGGUACCAUGGUAGCCAUCCUGUGUCCCUGAAGGAAGCCAGGAUGAGGACAAAGCCAUCCCUGGAGGUCUGCAGAGUGCCAGGUGACACUGGAGAGCAGUAAACCAUCCCAUCCCUAGGGUGGGCCUGUCUUUGAACUUCUGGACUCUCCAUGCGAUACAUUUCCGUAUUAUUUAAACUGGUUUAAAGUAUUAUGCUAACUUUGUUUCUUAUAUUAUUAUUAUUAUUAUUUUAGCUGUGUAUUUUUGUCUGCCUGCUUUUAUUUUUAUAGCCACACCAGGUUGUGGGCUCAAAGAUAGAAGACACAGACAUUCAGAGUUGCCAUGUAUAUCAAUUAGGAAUUACUUUUGGCUGCUUAAACCCUAAACAACUAAGUGAAUACUUUUCUCACUUAAUGGGGAGCCUGGAGAAGGCGAUCCAGCUGAGCUCAGCUGUUGAAGGGAGUCAUUAAGAAUCAAGGUUCUUGCUAUUUCCCUGUUCUUGCCAUCCUUGAUUUAAUUUUCUUCACAUGGUCAUCAAUGGCUGCAUCACUUCCAGCCAUCACAUCUGAGUUCCAUGCUGGGGAUGAAGGAUGUAGAAAAGGAAGUUUGUGCCAUCUGAAUCUGUGUUUUUUGUCAAGAAAACAAUACCUCUCCAGAAUCCUUACCCUAAAAUUCUUUAUAUCUGUCAUUGGCCAGAAAUGCAUGACAUGGACAUCUUAGCUAAAUUUAUGGGACUUUGGCUACCCCAAACAAACUUGGGAUUUUGUUAAAAAGGAGAGAGGGUGGGAAAUAGAUACUGGGAGGGAAAGGGGGAUCUUUUGCGGUGGGCUUGGCCAGCCCAGCUCAGCAGGGCAACUGAGACAGGAAUGAGCCCAGAGGGUGUGACCUGGCUCUGAAUGCUCUGGGGCCACGUGGGCCUCUAUUUGCUGCCUUCCCUCAAUCACCCCCAGCCCCACAGAUGCCAAAGCGGUCUCUCCACAGCACCUGCUCUGUCACAUGUCACAUUACUCCCCUGUCAGAAAUCUCCCUUUGUUCAUAGGAUGUGGUCAAAAUGCCCUGGCCCCAUAUUUCAGGUCCUUCCAGGACAGGUGACAAACCACCUCUCUGGCCUGAUUUGUCCUCUGUAUUCUGCCCCUUUUGGGUGGUGCCCUUGACUUGUUCUCAUGUAGCAUCUCCCAUCCUCUCUACCUGGUGGACCCCACCACCUUUAGGGUCACCUCAUCCCCGAAGCUGACUCUCCUGCUCUGGACCUUCCCUGGGGUUCCCUCGGCGUGAUGACUUGUGCUACUUAAAUCGAGCAUUUGUUGAGUAUCAGCCACCUCAGCAUUCACACACACACCCACGUGUUUACACGCCCAUGUCUUGCACGUCAAAGAUGCUCUGUAAGUCUUCACUUCUUCUUUCCAAACCUCCCAUCUCUGGCAACCUCCAGCCAGGGCCCUUGGAAGAUCGAUGGAUUUCAAAACACUGACUUGGGAAUAUUCUUGCAGUGAUUUAAAAAGUCCAAUGUUAAUAUUGAACUGCUGUGACAAUUGAUGGUCAUUUCUGCCAAGAUGGGCAUCCUGUCUUGCCCACCAUGAUGUCCCCAGCACACAGUGAGGUACCUGGGACUCUUAGGCACUAAUAAAACAAAAACAAGCAGGAAAAAAAAACAAAAAACUCAACAACACCCACUUGUUGCAAACGUCCUAAGGAAGCUCUCCUGAACAGCUCCCCGUGGACACCACACGCCUGAAUCCUUAUCCUCCCCUGCAGCCUGGAGGCAGCUUCUCCUCUCUCAGUCCUCGUGGGGGCGUUGAGAAGCCCAAUCCCUCAAGCCCGUUUAGAGAGACCAGCCAAGGAGUCUCCUAACUGAGGUUGCAGUUCCAGGCUUGGCACAGCAGUGUCACCAGGAACACCAGUGCCCUCGUGUUCUUGCCCAGGGGCGGCUGGGAGGCCACCGUGCUUCCCACUGCACUCUCCAGGAUGGAUGCUGAGCCACAGUGGGAAGUGAAGGGUGGGAAGGAAUGGUAUUGGGUAAGGAGCCAACAGCAUGCACCUUCCUUUUGUUUGAAGAUAAGGGACAGGGGCUUGGCAAGAUUAAGUGACUUGCCAACAUCCCACAGUAGGUUAGGAGCAGAGCUGGGGUCUGUCUGUCUCUGAAACUGUCAUCUUCAUGAUGCAAGAUAGGUGUAGGUCGCAGAGCAAGUGUGUGUGUGUGUGUGUCUGGAUGAGGGAAUUCAGACUCUGGGGACCUCCAUCCUAGGGUCUGAUGAUUGUGGCUCUGCAGACACAGCCCCUCUGGAUUUGGAACUCCUUCUCCUUGAAAAUGGACUUUAUUAGGAAGGGAUGGGAUGGGAUGGGAUGGAAAAGAAGGACUAUGUGACUUAAUAUUUUAAAAUUUUAAUUUUCAGAAUAGGCACAAAUGAUAAGAAUACAGCUCAAUUAAUUUUCCUAAAGGGGACACUCUUGUGUCUAGAACCCAGUAAGAGAAACAGCACAUUACCAGAACCCCAGCAACUCUCUUCUUGACUAUUUGUAGUCCUUAUAUCCCCCUUGCCAGGGCUGACCAUCAUCCUGAGCAAAACAAUUUGGGCUGUUUGGGUACUUUGUAUAGAUGGAACUAUAUACUAUGUAUUCACGUGUGUGAAUUCUUUGUUCAAAAUUAUACUGGUGAGGAUUAUCCACGUCAUCAUGUAAGCUGGGGUUCUUAUUGUUAUGCUGCAUAGUAUUCUACUUUACGACUAUACUUCAAUUUAUCUAUUUUACUUUGAUGGGUAUUUUGAAAAACUAGUUUUUAGCUAUGACGUAUGGUGCAGCUAUAAGCAUUUUGAACAUGUACAAAGUCCUGUUGAAUGUAUAUUGGGAGUGGAAUCUAUGGGCAACAGGAAGGUGUUUAUUUAGUUUUAGUGGGUAGGGGCAAACAUUUUCAAAGGAGUAGUAUUAAUUUCCACUCCCAUCAAGUUGCUCUGUCUUCUUGCCAACACUUGGUAUUAUCAGUGUUUUUAACUCUUUUGUUGAGUAGGUAUAUAAUGGUAUCUCAUUAUGGCUUAAUUUUCAUUUGUGUUUCCUAAUUGACUAAUAAAACUGAGCACCCUUUCAUGUAUUUAUUGAUCAUUGCUAUAGUUUUAUCUUUUAAAUUGAACUACCCUGACAGAGAAAUGGGCAGAGGCCUUCUGAGAAGGUGUGUAGUUUCUGAGCUUGGGAAGGUUUGGGAGGCACAGAACAGCUGCUU
rnacentral:lncRNA from 1 species